UCGUGUCGUGAGAUGUUGGGUUAAGUCCCGCAACGAGCGCAACCCUCACCUCUUGUUGCCAUCAGGUCAUGCUGGGCACUCUAGAGGAACUGCCCCGGUCAACGGGGAGGAAGGCGGGGAUGACGUCAAGUCAUCAUGCCCCUUACGUCCUGGGCUACACACGUGCUACAAUGGCCGGUACAAGGGAUGCCACACCGCGAGGUAGAGCUAAACCCAAAAAGCCGGUCUAAGUUCAGAUUGGAGUCUGCAACUCGACUCCAUGAAGGAGGAAUCGCUAGUAAUCGC
rnacentral:rRNA from 1 species